rnacentral:rRNA from 1 species
UACGUAGGUGGCGAGCGUUGUUCGGAUUUAUUGGGCGUAAAGGGUCCGCAGGGGGCCCGUUAAGUUAGAUGUGAAAUCCCGGGGCUCAACCCCGGAACUGCAUUUAAAACUGGCGGGCUAGAGUGCUGGAGAGGUAAAUGGAAUUCCAGGUGUAGCGGUGGAAUGCGUAGAUAUCUGGAAGAACACCGAAAGCGAAGGCAGUUUACUGGACAGCAACUGACCCUCAGGGACGAAAGCGUGGGGAGCAAACAGGAUUAGAUACCCUGGUAGUCCACGCCGUAAACGUUGUGAACUUGUUGUGGGGGGAUUUAGCCCCCUCCGUGACGAAGCUAACGCGAUAAGUUCACCGCCUGGGAACUACGGUCGCAAGACUAAA